UCCGUAGGCUUAUUUGAUUGGUUUCUUCUUCCUGCACUAGAACAAAUAUAUACCAGUUGCGACCUCCCGUUUUAGCCGCCUGAGCCAUCUCCAACCGGCCAGCUAAGACCCUUUACCCUACAACUGGACCUCAACACAGUCGCGACUACAGGUCAUCUAGGACUGAUGUUUGGUCGGAGGAAGUUCCUAUCUUUCCCUUUGGUGAUUGGAGCUGUCGUGAUUGGAGUUGUGUCUGGUAAGGCAAUAUUUGGACCCCCACUUGAUGAAUAUUGGCAAAAGAAGCUCGAGGAAGAAACGGCAAGAAAGAACAAUGACACCAGCUCAAACUGAGUAACCAUUUUUUGCUAAAUGUGUUUCGUCAAAUAAGACAGUGAAGAAUUCUGAUAGGGAUUCACUUUUUUUUCUCCGUUUAUGAUUAGGAGCUUCUUUACUCUACUUGCCAAGUUAUUCUUUAAAAAAGUAUUGGUUGCUACGUUUCCAUUUGUCGCUGCACACAAAUAGAAGCUUUAGCGAUGAAUAUUGUAUCCUAAAAUUAAGAUAUAAAACUCAUUGCACUUUUAUUGGUGACAUAGUGUAAUUGGUAUUU